rnacentral:rRNA from 1 species
AACGAACGCUGGCGGCAUGCCUAACACAUGCAAGUCGAACGAGCCCUUCGGGUGUAGUGGCGCACGGGUGCGUCACGCGUGGGAUCCUGCCCUUAGGUUCGGCCUAACUCCCAGACAGGGGUGAUAUUACCGGAUAAUGUCUUCGGACCAAAGAUUUAUCGACUUGGGUUGUGCCCGCGUUGGAUAAGCUCGUUGUUAGGGUAAUAGCUUACCACGGCGACGAUCCAUAACUGGUUUGAGAGGAUGAUCAGCCACACUGGGACGAAGAAACGGCCCAGAAUCCUACGGGAAGGAGCAGUGGGGGAUAUUGGAACAUGGGGGAAAGGCUGAAGGAGCAAUGACGCGAGAGUGAUGAAGGCCUGAAGGUUGUAAAGCGCUAGUAACCGGGAUCAUAAUGACAGUACCGGGACAAUAAGCUCCGGCUAACUCCGUG